CAGGCUGCCCUCAUGUAUUUCUAACAUAACUGAAAUGCAUUGCAGUCGGGCUUUGGUGAUGACAAAAUCCAAACAUACGGACCACCCAAUCUUGUUAAUUCGCUUGUUUUGGCUGAAGACGUAAGCAUUAAACUUCCUUGAAUUCUACGAUGGUCAUAUGCUUUAAUUUAGAGUUAUUUCGCCCUGUGAAGCACGGCUACACCUGCAGGGUCACUGCGGAUAUGAAACUACGCAUUUCUACGCCGUGCCCUCAUUUGUUUACCAUUAUAAUUGUAACCACUCCUUGGGAUGAUUUAUACUAAUAGCGUAAUUCGUAGUGUAUGUGCCUGUGUCGGUUGGAUCCUUUGAAGAAUAUUAUAAGAAGAAACAGCCCCGUGCUGCUCCGUCGUUUUUUUCUGAGUAAAGACACCUGUGUCCCUUUCUGAUCUGCUGGACGAAGGGAGGGUAGUCUACAAGAAAAGUGAACCUCCAUCUGUUGCUGGUCAGCGAUACUUUAUAGUAGACAUGGCGGAUUUAUGGCUGCUGAGAGAAAAUGAUCCCAUAUGCUUGAUGGAAGGCACGGAAUAAAGAUAACUAGACCUACUGAUGAAGUGGUCCUCCGGGCCACGUUCAAGGGCACGCUGCAGGCCAGGCCAGAAAUGUGCGAGGGACGCAGACAGACGCAUGCGAAUUUAGGUAAUGGUGUCGCGUUUCACCGCCUGCUUUCCUUGGCCAUGUUCUGAGAAGAUAGUGUUAAUUUAUUUGUUUGCCUUUGCUUUAAGCACUGAUGGAUGAAGCUCUCUGCUAUACGGAGAAGCCACCAGAAUGCGAGGAACACAGUCUAAAACCAACAUUUAUUAUAUAGAUUACUUGCAUAUGCGUUCGCCAAAAAAUAACAUCGAUGUCAAGCACGUCUCAUACAACUCCCAAUAUUGUCCCAUUGCUAAAAUAUUGCAUGCUAUUUAUCUUUUGGCAAAAAAUGUUCUUAGCUAAGCAGCCCGCUUUUUUCUUGGCCUCUAGAGAUUGUGAAUUGCAGAUUAAUCAUUUCAGUUUUUGCUUGUGGUUCACAUGUUUCCUGAAACGUCUGAUCAAAUUUUAGGCUUAUAUUUUAAUCUGGGCCCUAUGGUAUUAGGAAGUAUUUCUACUUGUGACAGUGAGUCAUCCUUAUGCAUAAUGUUUACUUAACUAGUGUUACAUGCUUUGCUUUGUCACGCUUGAGAUUUUGUGGACAAAAUCCAUUCUGGAUUAACUUUGGUUGGUUAGAGUCUAUCUGAGCUGGGUAGAGUAGGCUACUGAAAGAGUGUAGCCAAUUCAAAUACACUUCAAGUUACUUUAAACAAAAUGUCUUAGAGUAAAAGUACAAGUAG